GGGGGACCCUGAUCCAGCCAUGCCGCGUGUGUGAAGAAGGCCUUUUGGUUGUAAAGCACUUUAAGCAGUGAAGAAGACUCCGUGGUUAAUACCCACGGACGAUGACAUUAGCUGCAGAAUAAGCACCGGCUAACUCUGUGCCAGCAGCCGCGGUAAUACAGAGGGUGCAAGCGUUAAUCGGAAUUACUGGGCGUAAAGGGAGCGUAGGUGGCUCUAUAAGUCAGAUGUGAAAUCCCCGGGCUUAACCUGGGAACUGCAUCUGAAACUGUAGAGCUAGAGUAUGUGAGAGGAAGGUAGAAUUCCAGGUGUAGCGGUGAAAUGCGUAGAGAUCUGGAGGAAUACCGAUGGCGAAGGCAGCCUUCUGGCAUAAUACUGACACUGAGGCUCGAAAGCGUGGGUAGCAAACAGGAUUAGAUACCCUGGUAGUCCACGCCGUAAACGAUGUCUACUAGUCGUUGGGUCCCUUGAGGACUUAGUGACGCAGCUAACGCAAUAAGUAGACCGCCUGGGGAGUACGGCCGCAAGGUUAAAACUCAAAUGAAUUGACGGGGGCCCGCACAAGCGGUGGAGCAUGUGGUUUAAUUCGAUGCAACGCGAAGAACCUUACCUGGUCUUGACAUAUCUAGAAUCCUGCAAAGAUGCGGGAGUGCCUUCGGGAAUUAGAAUACAGGUGCUGCAUGGCUGUCGUCAGCUCGUGUCGUGAGAUGUUGGGUUAAGUCCCGCAACGAGCGCAACCCUUGUCCUUAGUUACCAGCGGGUUAAGCCGGGAACUCUAAGGAUACUGCCAGUGACAAACUGGAGGAAGGCGGGGACGACGUCAAGUCAUCAUGGCCCUUA
rnacentral:rRNA from 1 species